rnacentral:rRNA from 1 species
ACAUGCGUCCAAAGAAUUAAAGGCCCAUUGCCAUGUUCUAAAGUAUAAAGCAAAUUAUUACCGUGAAACUGCGAAAUGGCUCAUUAAAUCAGUUAUCGUUUAUUUGAUAGUACCUUACUACUUGGAUAACCGUGGUAAUUUCUAGAGCUAAUACAUGCUAAAAACCCCGACUUCGGGAGGGGUGUAUUUAUUAGAUAAAAAACCAAUGCCCUUUCGGGGCUCCUUGGUGAAUCAUAAUAACUUAACGGAUCGCAUGGCCUUGCGCCGGCGACGGUUCAUUCAAAUUUCUGCCCUAUCAACUUUCGAUUGUAGGGUAUUGGCCUACAAUGGUAUCAACGGGUAACGGGGAAUUAGGGUUCGAUUCCGGAGAGGGAGCCUGAGAAACGGCUACCACAUCCAAGGAAGGCAGCAGGCGCGCAAAUUACCCAAUCCCGACACGGGGAGGUAGUGACAAUAAAUACUGAUACAGGGCUCUUUUGGGUCUUGUAAUUGGAAUGAGUACAAUUUAAAUCCCUUAACGAGGAACAAUUGGAGGGCAAGUCUGGUGCCAGCAGCCGCGGUAAUUCCAGCUCCAAUAGCGUAUAUUAAAGUUGUUGCAGUUAAAAAGCUCGUAGUUGAACCUUGGGUCUGGCUGGCCGGUCCGCCUCACCGCGUGCACUGGUCCGGCCGGACCUUUCCUUCUGGAGAACCGCAUGCCCUUCACUGGGUGUGCCGGGGAACCAGGACUUUUACUUUGAAAAAAUUAGAGUGUUCAAAGCAGGCCUUUGCUCGAAUACAUUAGCAUGGAAUAAUAGAAUAGGACGUGCGGUCCUAUUUUGUUGGUUUCUAGGACCGCCGUAAUGAUUAAUAGGGAUAGUCGGGGGCAUCAGUAUUCAAUUGUCAGAGGUGAAAUUCUUAGAUUUAUUGAAGACUAACUACUGCGAAAGCAUUUGCCAAGGAUGUUUUCAUUAAUCAGUGAACGAAAGUUAGGGGAUCGAAGACGAUCAGAUACCGUCGUAGUCUUAACCGUAAACUAUGCCGACUAGGGAUCGGGCGAUGUUAUUCUUUUGACUCGCUCGGCACCUUACGAGAAAUCAAAGUUUUUGGGUCUGGGGGAGUAUGGGCACGG